rnacentral:rRNA from 1 species
CAGCCGCCGCGGUAAUACGUAGGGUGCAAGCGUUAAUCGGAAUUACUGGGCGUAAAGCGUGCGCAGGCGGUUAUAUAAGACAGAUGUGAAAUCCCCGGGCUCAACCUGGGAACUGCAUUUGUGACUGUAUAGCUAGAGUACGGCAGAGGGGGAUGGAAUUCCGCGUGUAGCAGUGAAAUGCGUAGAUAUGCGGAGGAACACCGAUGGCGAAGGCAAUCCCCUGGGCCUGUACUGACGCUCAUGCACGAAAGCGUGGGGAGCAAACAGGAUUAGAUACCCAGUAGUCCCUGUCUCUUAUACA